GACGAACGCUGGCGGCGUGCUUAACACAUGCAAGUCGAACGGAAAGGCCCUGCUUUUGUGGGGUGCUCGAGUGGCGAACGGGUGAGUAACACGUGAGUAACCUGCCCUUGACUUUGGGAUAACUUCAGGAAACUGGGGCUAAUACCGGAUAGGAGCUCCUGCUGCAUGGUGGGGGAUGGAAAGUUUCGGCGGUUGGGGAUGGACUCGCGGCUUAUCAGCUUGUUGGUGGGGUAGUGGCUUACCAAGGCUUUGACGGGUAGCCGGCCUGAGAGGGUGACCGGCCACAUUGGGACUGAGAUACGGCCCAGACUCCUACGGGAGGCAGCAGUGGGGAAUAUUGCACAAUGGGCGGAAGCCUGAUGCAGCAACGCCGCGUGCGGGAUGACGGCCUUCGGGUUGUAAACCGCUUUCGCCUGUGACGAAGCGGGAGUGACGGUAAUGGGUAAAGAAGCACCGGCUAACUACGUG
rnacentral:rRNA from 1 species